rnacentral:sRNA from 3 species
UAUCUCUCUGUACAGGGAAGGAUGAGAAUCUUCGAUUAAGGUUCGACUCGAGCGGAAGCGAGAGAGCGUUGCCAACGGCAACGGCCCGAAGGGCGCGACGCGCCGAGUCAUCCUUCCCCCACCAUAA